rnacentral:rRNA from 1 species
UACGUAGGGGGCAAGCGUUGUCCGGAUUUAUUGGGCGUAAAGCGCGCGCAGGCGGCUCUUUAAGUCAGGUGUGAAAGGCUGCGGCUCAACCGCAGAGCUGCACCUGAAACUGAGGGGCUUGAGUGCAGGAGAGGAGAGUGGAAUUCCCGGUGUAGCGGUGGAAUGCGUAGAGAUCGGGAGGAACACCAGUGGCGAAGGCGACUCUCUGGCCUGUAACUGACGCUGAGGCGCGAAAGCGUGGGGAGCAAACAGGAUUAGAUACCCUGGUAGUCCACGCCGUAAACGAUGAGUGCUAGGUGUUGGGGGGUUCACCCCCUCAGUGCCGAAGGAAACCCAAUAAGCACUCCGCCUGGGGAGUACGGCCGCAAGGCUGAA